GAUGAACGCUGGCGGCGUGCCUAAUACAUGCAAGUCGAGCGAACAGACGAGGAGCUUGCUCCUCUGACGUUAGCGGCGGACGGGUGAGUAACACGUGGAUAACCUACCUAUAAGACUGGGAUAACUUCGGGAAACCGGAGCUAAUACCGGAUAAUAUAUUGAACCGCAUGGUUCAAUAGUUAAAGACGGUUUUGCUGUCACUUAUAGAUGGAUCCGCGCCGCAUUAGCUAGUUGGUAAGGUAACGGCUUACCAAGGCAACGAUGCGUAGCCGACCUGAGAGGGGGAUCGGCCACACUGGAACUGAGACACGGUCCAGACUCCUACGGGAGGCAGCAGUAGGGAAUCUUCCGCAAUGGGCGAAAGCUUGACGGAGCAACGCCGCGUGAGUGAUGAAGGUCUUCGGAUCGUAAAACUCUGUUAUUAGGGAAGAACAAAUGUGUAAGUAACUAUGCACGUCUUGACGGUACCUAAUCAGAAAGCCACGGCUAACUACGU
rnacentral:rRNA from 1 species